rnacentral:rRNA from 1 species
GAUCAUGGCUCAGAACGAACGCUGGCGGCGCGUUUAAGCAUGCAAGUCGAGCGGCAAGGGCCUUCGGGCCCCUAGAGCGGCGGACGGGUGAGUAACACGUGGACAAUCUGCCCCCCGGCCCGGGAUAGCCCAGGGAAACCUGGAUUAAUACCGGAUGAGACGGGACCCGCGAUGGCGGGAUCCGGGAAAGGCGCUGCGGCGCCGCCGGGGGAUGAGUCUGCGUCCCAUUAGCUAGACGGCGGGGUAACGGCCCACCGUGGCGACGAUGGGUAGCCGGCCUGAGAGGGCGGACGGCCACAUUGGAACUGAGACACGGUCCAGACUCCUACGGGAGGCAGCAGCUAAGAAUCUUCCGCAAUGGGCGAAAGCCUGACGGAGCCGACGCCGCGUGAACGAAGAAGGCCGUGAGGUUGUAAAGUUCUUUUCGGGAGGGGGAACAACCGUGGCAGGGAAUGGCCGCGGGAUGACGUGAAUCCCGGAAUAAGCCCCGGCUAACUACGUGCCAGCAGCGGC